CAAGGCAGAGGGAGACAAGUACCAAGACAAGAGAUAGGAGUGAGACAAGGGCAAGUGAGAGGGAGACAAGUACCAAGACAAGAGAUAGGAGUGGGACAAGGGCAAGGUGACAAGUACCAAGACAAGGGAGUGGAGUGGGACAAGGGCAAGGCAGAGAGGAGACAAGUACCAAGACAAGAGAUAGGAGUGAGACAAGGGCAAGUGAGAGGGAGACAAGUACCAAGACAAGAGAUAGGAGUGGGACAAGGGCAAGGUGACAAGUACCAAGACAAGAGAGAGGAGUGGGACAAGAGCAAGGCAGAGGGAGACAAGUACCAAGACAAGAGAUAGGAGUGGGACAAGGGCAAGGUGACAAGUACCAAGACAAGGGAGAGGAGUGGGACAAGGGCAAGGGAGAAGGAGACAAGUACCAAGACAAGAGAGAGGAGUGGGACAAGGGCAAGGCAGAGGGAGACAAGUACCAAGACAAGAGAUAGGAGUGGGACAAGAGCAAGGAGACAAGUACCAAGACAAGGGAGAGGAGUGGGACAAGGGCAAGGGAGAAGGAGACAAGUACCAAGACAAGAGAGAGGAGUGGGACAAGGGCAAGGCAGAGGGAGACAAGUACCAAGACAAGAGAUAGGAGUGAGACAAGAGCAAGGAGACAAGUACCAAGACAAGGGAGAGGAGUGGGACAAGGGCAAGUGAGAGGGAGACAAGUAGCAAAACAAGAGAUAGGAGUGGGACAAGGGCAAGGAGACAAGUACCAAGACAAGGGAGAGGAGUGGGACAAGGGCAAGGCAGAGGGAGACAAGUACCAAGACAAGAGAGAGGAGUGGGACAAGGGAGAGUAGUUAGAAUUCGUGGUGUGCUAAAAGAAGGGCCAGAGCUAGGGUAACUGAUGAAAUAAGAGCUACUAUCAUAGACCAUGUCAUAAACCACGGUCUAUCAUACAGAGAGGCUGGUGAACGAGUAGAGCCAAAUCUCAGCCGGGACACGGUGGCAUCCAAUGUCCGGAUAUUUCGAGAAACCAACAGGGUUCAAUAUCUAGGGCAGAGGAAAGCUCUUAAAUGAAGAACAGGAACUUGCUAUUGUCAACAUGAUGAUUGCUGACAAUUAAAUAAAACUGAAUGUCAUUCAGUCCAGAGUUGUAGAGGACUUGUCUUUGGGACCAUUGCAGCAAUCAGCAUAACAUCCAUUUCUCGGACUCUAGGUAAACACAGAGUCUGAAUGAAACGACUAUGCAAAGUUCCUAUUGAAAGGAACGGUGAGCGCAUCAAAGAACCCUGUCGCCAAUAUGUCCAGAGAAUCAUGGAUUUGGAGGCCAAUCAAGUCCCACAUGAAAUGAUCUUCGUUGACGAGGCUGGCUUUUUUGGCCAAAAGGCGUUGGCACAGAAGAAACAUAAUUGGCAAAAGGGCCACAGUUACCGUGCUGGGCCAGAGAGUAGCCAACAUCACCAUGUGCGCCGCAAUCUCCAAUAACGGUGCAUUCCUGCAUAAAUGUGAGAUUGGCCCCUACAACACCUGUUUUUACAAAACCUGCACGAAAGACUGGUGCCAGAGGUAGAAAGGGGACAGGUGGGAGACCACUUGCCUAUAUAUGUGAUCACAUGGGACAUUGUGGCAUUCCACAAUUCCCGUGCUAGUCACAGCCUGGUUUGACGCCCAUUAGAGAAUGAUGUCCCUUUUCCUUGCCCCUUACUCCCCUAUCCUCAACCCCAAGGAGUUUUUCUCAGCCUGGAGAUCGUCCACCAUCGUCCACAGGACCAAAUGUCCCUCCUGGAUGCAAUGGAUGCUGCAUGUCAAGACAUCACAGCUGAACACUGCCAGGGGUGGAUAAGGCAUGCCAAAAGAUUUUUCUUGCAGGAGAAGAUAUGAUUUAGAUUUUGAGCAUGAAAUUAACUAUUUGCCAAUUGUGUGUUGUAGGUGUGUUGGUGCAUUAAGAGUUUUGGAAAAUUGUUAGAAGUAUUGAAAAAUAGCGAUUGUAAAAAAACUUAAAAUUCUAGUAAUCAGAUUUCAGUUACUGAUUAUUUUAUCUGAUAACUGAUGCAAAACCAAUUUGUGUUUUAUGAUUUUUGACAGAAUAAUAAUUAGAAUAUUAAUUAAUGCAAACAAAACAAUGGAUUAAAUAUAGAGAUCUACCGAUAUAUUUUUUUGACCAAUACGAUUAAGUGUCUGAUAACCGAUAUCCAAAACCGAUAAAUGCAUUAAAAUGAGUUACGUAAUAAUCAGUGUUGAGUAUAAUCUGAUAAAGAUAUUACAGUAACUAAUCGAAUUACCUUUUUAGUUAAAAAGUAGUGCAACACAUUGCAUAUUAAAUGAUAGUAAUCAGAUUACAGUUACUGACUUUUAAUUAAGUUACAUGGGUUGCACAUUUCUAAAAAUAUUAUAUAGAUUUAUUCAUAUGUACGUCUCUUUGCGUUUCUGUGACAGCUGACACCCCAUAUUAAGUCAUUGUAAGGGAGAAACAUGCUGAGUGUAUGACUUGCAUGCAACAAUGGAAAUAAAGGAAAUAAAGAUAUUAUUCUGAAUAUAAUGAGCAAAUUUUGUUUCUGUGAAGUGUUUUAGACACUUCAGAGUAAAUAGUAAUGUGACAACUUUUUCAAUUAAAUAAUCAGUAAAUC